AGGAUUGGUACUAUUCGAGUGAUUUCAACAUGUAAGCUUGUCAUUCGUGCUUGUGAUCAAAGAAACAAAAAGAAGUUUUCCCAAGCCUUGGGGUUGUUGAAGCACGAUUUCUCAACUACACAAAGCCAAUUGGAAGCUUAUGCUAGGAUGGAGUGAAGGAUUAUCAUGGUGCAAAUUGAUCAAGCUGGAGGCUCAAGUUCAUAAAAAAAAAAAAAGACAGUCUAUUGCACUAAA